rnacentral:sRNA from 1 species
ACGGUCCUCCGCGCGCGACUACGCUCAUAAAAGGAAAAAAAGCGUGUGCGGUUCUCGACGUGCCGCCAAUCUUCGAACGCAGGUCCGUGAUCAUCCGCUGACUCCGAAAAAGCGUUCGAGGAACGCGCCUGCUCCCCUCGUCGCAGUUUCCAGGCCGACGAGCUUGUUUUGUCCGAGACUCGGUGCCACUGUAGACAAUGGCCCUCGUGUCUGCCGAUUCCCGCAUUGCAGAACUUCUCACAGAGCUCCAUCAGCUGAUCAAACAAACCCAGGAAGAGCGUUCACGGAGCGAACACAACUUAGUGAACAUCCAGAAGACCCAUGAGCGGAUGCAGACAGAGAACAAGAGUGAGUAGCUGGGCACAGGAGAGAAAGGGGAUGAGACGGGGCUGGGGUGAAUAUGGCCAAGACUGGGACCGAGGUGGUCAUUGUAUUCAAAAUAGAUUUGCAUGUAUCUGCAUAUUCCAAAAUGCAGCAGGAGGGACAGCUUUCCGUUAAUCUGGGUGACCUGAAGAACUAAAAUCCCUCCACUCUGAGGAUUCGAAAGGCAGUGAAAUGAGGCUGCAUCUAGGGAACCUUGCCCUCAGAGCGCACAAGCACCCCAGUUAGCUGGUGUUUUCUAGAAAGGAGCUUCCUUCCCAGGCGGCCCCUGCAUCUGCCCUGAGGCCCUCAGGUGGUCAGAUCUGGGGCUGGGGCUUUCUUACUCUGGGUAACUCUGAGAAUUGUGUUUUCCUGGGUCCUGACAAAUAUUUUCUGUGAGUG